AUCUGGGCCCACCAGAUCUAGGAAGAAAAGGUUCCGGAGCUGCCCCGCUCCUGGCCCCCGCCUGCCGAGGUGGUAGGAUCUCUGCUUUAACUAGCCUCGGAGGACUGGCUGUCCCUUGUGUCUUUCCCACACCUUGCCCUUUCCUUUGUAAACAGCCUCUUUAUUAAACACGCUUUGAAUUCA